CUACCUUGGUUACGUGUGAAUUAACUUUGAUGACAAGAGAAAAAUAAAGAUGAUACAAAUAAUGCCAAUUUGCGUGUUAAUCACUGUUUUAAUCUUUGUCACAGUUCAGAAAGAAACCGUUUUUCCAUGCAAAUUCAAGACG
ensembl:ncRNA T07D1.9 ncRNA